rnacentral:sRNA from 1 species
AAGGCUAAUUCCUCAUUAUCCCCUAUGCAUAUGCAACAAUCCUAUAUGAAACACUCUAAACUCUAUCCUAAAUGUAAUGCAACUAAAUGAUCACUCUGUUUAUGUGGAAUUCAUUUUCAAAAAAAUUCAAUUUUUUUUUUGUUUUUUCUCUAUGACUUAGAUGAUAUGCAGAGUCAAAUGAUAUUCAC